ACGUAUAAGAUCUGAGGCUGAAGAGACAGGCAGGGCUCAGACGGUGGGGACUUUGUCUGCCAGCUAGUAAGCUGAUCUCAUCCCAUAGAAGAACUUCCAGAUGCUGAGUCUAGAGCCUAUUUUCACUGUGACCCAGGUUGGACUUCUUGUCUCAGUGCCCAGCUGGGCAGGACUGGGGAUGGAGGAGAGGAAAACUAAUGAGAGAGGAGACAUGGUUGGAGUCCUGGCUCCUGGGGAGUUGGAUCCAGGUCCUGUGUCUUAGAGGGACCAGAUGCAGAGGAUCCAGGAGAGCACUUGCAGGGGACAGUAGAGUUGCCAGAAGUUGCCAGAAGGUAAGA